CAUGGUAGAACCGGGGUAAGCGUGUAGGAGGAGGACCAGGUAAAUCCGGGCCUCAUAAACUCUGAGACGUGAUACCGAGCCGCUUCAGGCGAAGUCAUUGAUCCUAUGCUGCCUAGAAAAGCCCAGCAGCGAGUUGACAUGGUGCCCGUACCCCAAACCAACACAGGUGGACAGGUAGAGCAUACCAAGGCGAGUGGGAUAACUAUGGUUAAGGAACUCGGCAAAUUGCCUCCGUAACUUCGGGAGAAGGAGGACCCCAGUAGCGUGAUGAGACUUGCUCUCUGAGCGUGAAGGGGUGGCACAAAAUUGAGGGAAGCGACUGUUUACCAAAAACACAGCAGCGUGCUAAGCCGUAAGGCGCUGUAUACGCUGUGACUCCUGCCCGGUGCUGGAAGGUUACGGGGAUGGGUUAGUCCUUCGGGACGAAGCUCUGAACCUAAGCCCCAGUAAACGGCGGCCGUAACUAUAACGGUCCUAAGGUAGCGAAAUUCCUUGUCGGGUAAGUUCCGACCUGCACGAAUGGAGUAACGACUUCCCUACUGUCUCAACCAUAGACCCAGCGAAAUUGAAGUACGAGUAAAGAUGCUCGUUAGCUGCAGAAGGACGGAAAGACCCCGUGGACCUUUACUAUAACUUGAUGUUGUGUUUUGUCAUAUGUUGUGUAGGAUAGGUGGGAGACUUGGAAGCAUGGACGCUAGUCUGUGUGGAGUCAUCGUUGAAAUACCACCCUGCAUAUGGUGAGGCUCUAACCUAGACCCGUUAUCCGGGUUGGGGACAGCGUCAGGCGGGUAGUUUAACUGGGGCGGUUGCCUCCUAAAGAGUAACGGAGGCGCCCAAAGGUUCCCUCAGCCUGGUUGGCAAUCAGGCGUUGAGUGCAAUGGCAAAAGGGAGCUUGACUGCGAGACCUACAAGUCGAGCAGGAGCGAAAGCUGGGCAUAGUGAUCCGGCGGUUGCGUGUGGAAGCGCCGUCGCUCAACGGAUAAAAGGUACCCCGGGGAUAACAGGCUAAUCUUGCCCAAGCGUCCAUAGCGACGGCAAGGUUUGGCACCUCGAUGUCGGCUCAUCGCAUCCUGGGGCUGAAGCAGGUCCCAAGGGUUGGGCUGUUCGCCCAUUAAAGCGGUACGCGAGCUGGGUUCAGAACGUCGUGAGACAGUUCGGUCCCUAUCCUCUGCAGCCGGAGGUGAAUUGAGGAAAGCUGUCCCUAGUACGAGAGGACCGGGACGGACGCAGCUCUCGUGUGCCAGUUGUCCUGCCAAGGGCAUGGCUGGUUAGCGACCUGCGGAAAGGAUAACCGCUGAAAGCAUCUAAGCGGGAAGCCUCUUCCAAGAUGAAUUCACCCACAGGGUUAACCUGGUAAGGCCCGUGGUAGACCACCACGUUGAUAGGCCGGAAGUGUAAGCGUGGCAACACGUUCAGCUGACCGGUACUAAUCGGCCGAGGGCUUGAGUG
rnacentral:rRNA from 1 species